GAUGAACGCUGGCGGCGUGCCUAAUACAUGCCAGUCGAGCGAACAGAUGAGGAGCUUGCUCCUCUGACGUUAGCGGCGGACGGGUGAGUAACACGUGGAUAACCUACCUAUAAGACUGGGAUAACUUCGGGAAACCGGAGCUAAUACCGGAUAAUAUAUUGAACCGCAUGGUUCAAUAGUGAAAGACGGUUUUGCUGUCACUUAUAGAUGGAUCCGCGCCGCAUUAGCUAGUUGGUAAGGUAACGGCUUACCAAGGCAACGAUGCGUAGCCGACCUGAGAGGGUGAUCGGCCACACUGGAACUGAGACACGGUCCAGACUCCUACGGGAGGCAGCAGUAGGGAAUCUUCCACAAUGGGCGAAAGCCUGACGGAGCAACGCCGCGUGAGUGAUGAAGGUCUUCGGAUCGUAAAACUCUGUUAUUAGGGAAGAACAAAUGUGUAAGUAACUAUGCACGUCUUGACGGUACCUAAUCAGAAAGCCACGGCUAACUACGUG
rnacentral:rRNA from 1 species